GAAGGCAAGAAGCUAAGAAGUAGGUGAGAGGCGGAGAAGGAAGCCCAAGUGUGUGAAGUUGUUCAAGGCUAUAAUUAGGUUAAUACCUAAGGACGACAUAGUUCCCAAUAGUUAAAAGAUGACCUCAUGUGGAGCUUGUGCAGAAACAUCAGAAUGAGAAGUGCUGCAAAUCACGCAGCCAGGUCAAAAGAUGUUGGCCACGACAAGGAAAACCAGCGAUUACAGAGAGAAAACGGGCCUCUACAGCAAAAUGAAGACUACGCACUCAAUCGAUGUAGCUCCUGGGGGGAAUACAUGUCCAACAUCAGUGCAUAACAUGACCCGAAAACCUGGUCCUUGCUUGAACAAUGAAACUUUUGCAGGUCUGCUGCAGUAUUGUACGUAUAUAUAGGAUUUCAUGUGAGGCACUGUCCUAAUAACUUUUUUCUCCCAGGAGUCCUGUAGACUUGUUGUGUGCAAAUAUCACAUUCAUCAAACCCACGCCGAGAUAUCACUGCGAAUCUUUUCUCAUAUCCAAUGCAUGUUCAUCUCCACAGCCAAAAAAGAUGAGCUCCCUUUUGUGUUGUGUGAUAAAUGAUUUACCAGCAUUUCCGCCACAACAGGAAAUUGUAUAUGAUGUGUGAUUACCUUGGGAAUGAGCGCAUCCAAGCAAAAAAAUACAAAGGUUUGGUGUUGUAGAAGACAAGAGAGGGCAUUUGAGGUCUCUCUGUGGAUUGGCAUGGGAAGCAAGAUCGCCAUGGCAGACGGCCUUUUUCCCCGGAUAGGGUUGCUAACUGUACUUAUUAUACGUGUGUGGUUGCCUUCAGGCUACAACUUUGUCAGUUUUUGAAUAAAAAAGAAAAGCUUUGA